rnacentral:rRNA from 1 species
GAUGAACGCUGGCGGCGUGCCUAAUACAUGCAAGUAGAACGCUGAAGGAGGAGCUUGCUCUUCUGGAUGAGUUGCGAACGGGUGAGUAACGCGUAGGUAACCUGCCUGGUAGCGGGGGAUAACUAUUGGAAACGAUAGCUAAUACCGCAUGACAACAGUUAUUGCAUGAUAACUGUUUAAAAGGGGCAACUGCUCCACUACCAGAUGGACCUGCGUUGUAUUAGCUAGUUGGUGAGGUAACGGCUCACCAAGGCGACGAUACAUAGCCGACCUGAGAGGGUGAUCGGCCACACUGGGACUGAGACACGGCCCAGACUCCUACGGGAGGCAGCAGUAGGGAAUCUUCGGCAAUGGACGGAAGUCUGACCGAGCAACGCCGCGUGAGUGAAGAAGGUUUUCGGAUCGUAAAGAUCUGUUGUAAGAGAAGAACGAGUGUGAGAGUGGAAAGUUCACACUGUGACGGUAUCUUACCAGAAAGGGACGGCUAACUACGUG